rnacentral:rRNA from 1 species
GCAGCCGCGGUAAUACGGGGGAUGCGAGCGUUAUCCGGAUUUAUUGGGUUUAAAGGGUGCGUAGGCGGCCUGUUAAGUCAGCGGUGAAAUUCAGGGGCUCAACCUCUGCCGUGCCGUUGAUACUGGCGAGCUAGAAUGCGGAUGCCGUUGGAGGAAUGUGUGGUGUAGCGGUGAAAUGCAUAGAUAUCACACAGAACACCGAUUGCGAAGGCAUCUGACGAAUCCGCUAUUGACGCUGAUGCACGAAAGCGUGGGGAUCAAACAGGAUUAGAUACCCC